AUGCAAACUUGAUCACUAACUCUGCAUGACGUUGCAGAAGAGAGGGAAACUAGGUUUGCUACGGUAAUUGCGGUGAUAGAAAUUUGUUAGCCUCAGAAGCUACUAAGGUGGUCCAUGUUAUUCUCUAACAGUG